UGACACUCCUCUCUCAGGCCGUGUCAGGAGGAAGGAAGAAUCACCCUCCAGCUGGCAUAGUCCUGAGCGAGAGAGGAGGACAGGCAGGUGGGCAAGAACCCCACCCCUCUCCUUCCCGUCUCUGUGGCUCCUGAGCCCCUCGGCCCUUCUAUUUCAGGGUCAGGUUGGAGCCUCUGUAUCCACAACCCAAAUUGUCCCAGGACAUGGAACUCUGGCAUCUGGGUCUCCUGCAACACCGUGUUCACCCUCAACCCCACUCAUAUGAGGGGGAAGCAGGACUCGGCUCCAGCACUUCCCCGACUGGACCCUCCCGGAGGUGGGGACUCUUCCCAGCAUAUCUGUCAGGACUAACAGCUUAUUCGAGAAUCUGAAAAUCUAUUCUUUCUCUUUUAAGUCUUGCAAAAUGAAUGAUACCUCUUCUCGAGGCUCAGGAGCUAUGAUGUUGCUUUCUUCUGGAACCGCAGAGACACGAAGCUGAAGAUCUUGGCUCUCAGGGGAGUCAGCUGAGAUAAGCUCAUUGUUCUCUUCCUUCUCUUCCAUCUUCCCUGCCUUGUCAGACGCUGAAAAAACCUGAGAGACCAUCAAGAGAUGACGAAACUGAGGCUCGGAGAGAUUGAAUAAUUUGCCCAAGGUCCCUGGUCAAGCAUGAAACCAAGCCGAGGUCUGUCUAUGUGCCUCCCGAGCCUAUGCAUUUAACUCCACGUUUAAUACCUUCCACCGCAGAUUCAAGAACAGUGAACGUGGUUUGACGAUCGGUGCUAGGUCCGCGCCCAGGAUCCGAACCUGAGAACCCCAGGCUGCUGGAGUGGAGCAUGCAAACUUAACCACUGUGCCGCCUGGCCAGCCCCUGACACUCUCUUGAAAAGACAGGAAUUAGAGCCAUCCCCUCCAUACCACCUACUUCCCCUCCCUCAGAACCCGCCACUUCUUCCCCUGGACUUCUCACCUGGCCACCCCAUCCCACCCCUGGGUUUAAUGAAUACAGAAGUUCUAAACCAUCCCUCUUUCACACUGUAUCUGUUCAAAGCUUGGAACAAUGAAAAAAAUGAAAAUGCCCAAAGUCACGGGCAGCGUCUCCUGGGAGUGAUGGGCUGGCAGCUGAGCCUCUCGUUCUGAUUUCCUCGGCCUUUUCCCCUAAGGGUUAGCAGCACACAUUCUUCCCACUGCGGACACGUUAGAUGAAGAACAAGAACCAGGACCGAGUUUUUCCUCCACUGGAGCUGGGAAUCUGAGGGAGCCCAUGCUUCCCCAGGUGACCCAUCCUUCAUGACUCCUAACUCCUCCCUAGUCUAGAGUCCCUCAGAUGGGACCAUCUCUCCCUUUUUUGUUCACACCUCCACCUUCUCCUGUGUAUGAUUCUUUUGCUAGAAUGUAAGCUCCUUGAAAGGUCCUAAAGGUUUAUGUAUGUAUCACCAC
rnacentral:lncRNA from 1 species